rnacentral:rRNA from 1 species
CCUACGUGAGGCAGCAGUAGGGAAUCUUCGGCAAUGGACGAAAGUCUGACCGAGCAACGCCGCGUGAGUGAAGAAGGUUUUCGGAUCGUAAAACUCUGUUGGUAGAGAAGAACGUUGGUGAGAGUGGAACGCUCAUCAAGUGACGGUAACUACCUAGAAAGGGACGGCUAACGACGUGACAGCAGCCGCGGUAAUACGUAGGUCCCUAGCGUUGUCGGGAUUUAUUGGGCGUAAAGCGUGCGCAGGUGGUUUAUUAAGUCUGGUGUAAAAGGCAGUGGCUAAACCAUGGUAUGCAUUGGAAACUGGUAGACUUGAGUGCAGGAGAGGGGAGUGGAAGUCCAGGUGUAGCGGUGAAAUGCGUAGAUAUAUGGAGGAACACCGGUGGCGAAGGCGGCUCUCUGGCCUGUAACUGACACUGAGGCUCGAAAGCGUGGGGAGCAAACAGGAUUAGAUACCCCAGUAGUC